CUCACUGAGUUGCUUAGGGCCUCACUAAGUUGCUGAGGCUGGCUUUGAGCUUGCGAUCCUCCUGCCUCAGCCUCCCCAGGUGCUGAGAUUACAGAUAUGUGCCACUGCUCCCACUCCAGGGAAGUUCUAAGGCCAUCAGGAAGGUGCCAUAAUUCAAAUAAAGACAAGAGAGAGCUGAGAGGACACGGCUGUGUUGAGAGAUCUCCAUGUUUCAAAGGAGGAACCAUGCCAACCAGAAACUAUAGAGAGAUAAAAUGGACCUUUGUGUGGACAUUGAAGAGGACAAGGGCUGAGAGGGUGACCUGCUGGGAGCCAGGGCCAGAGUGUUUUCUGAUUAAAGGAUUCAAUCACAAGAUGAGCAGACGAUGACUGUGAGGUGGGCUGAGGCAGGACCACUGCACAAAACAGCUUGUACUGCCAUACAGGCGGACGUUAGGCAUAGAGGGUGAUGCACAGCAGAUGAAACUGUGUGCUCUUAAGUCAGUUGCUUAACUUCUCUGAGCCUCAGUCUCCUCAUUUGUAAAAUGUUGUCUACAAUGAUAAGAGGAAUCUAAAGCUUCCCACUGUAUGAUAUUACAGUGAUUAGCAUUCAGUCUUCACUCAGUAUCCACAGGCAGUUGGUUCCAGGACCACCCACCGAAGCCAAACACAUCAGAUGCCCAAGUGUCUUGUAUAAAACAGUGUAGUAUUUGCAUAUAACCUACAGACACCUCUCACAUACUUCAAAUAAUCUUGUAUUAAUCAAAAUGCCUGAUAUAUUGCCAGUGCUGUGUAAAGAGUUGUUAUAUUAUAUUAUUUAGGGAAUGACAAUAAGAAAACCAUCUGAACAUAGUAUAGGUGCUGUUUUUUUCCCCCAAAUGUUUUUGGUCUACGGUUGGUGGAAUCCACUAAUGCGGAGCUGGAGAACACAGAGGGCCGACUGUACAAUUCCGUCUUCCCUCCAGACUCUAGCCUCACAGUUCUCAGAUGCAAGCAUGCAUCAAAAUCACAGUGCCAGGCCCCAAUCCCAAAGCUUCUGAUGCAGGGGGUUGGGGUGAAAUCCAAGCAUUUGUGUUGCUCUCUAGAUGCUCUUGCUGCUGGCAGGGGGAACACACUGUGGGCAUCACUAUUCCACAACCUGUAGAGACUGUACACUCCUGGUGGGCAAGGGUGCCCAGUAUCUAGUGCAGUGAGUGACAUAAUUCAGACCAGGAAGAGUCCCUGUAGAAUAAACGGAGGUGGUGUUGAAUGAAAUCAAAGUCACAUCAGUACAGUCUUGAAACCAUGGUGGUUAGUGGCAGAAGCUAGAAUUGUACCUGGGGAGCAAAUCUGAGCUAAGGGCAUGCAGUUACCCAGCUGUUUUAAUGAAAACUAGAGUCAGAGGCUGGAGGGACUGGGGCCCUAAUAAAGUUUUGGACUUGUUCCAACCUGUUGGCUUGUUCAGUGGGAGGCUUUAUUAUGGUGCAUCUAGAGAAGAUAUUUGCCAUGAGAGAUUUCCCCUGGUCCACUGCCCUUCAGCCUUCUCAAGGCUAAACCUGCAUUCCAUACCCACAUGAGGAAUUAGUCCAGUAUUUUUUAUUGUUAUGUGAACUUUGCAGGAACUCUCCCAGGUUCCCCAUUUGGAAAUCUACAAAAUCUUUCUCAGAUAUCGAGUCCUCUAAGCUUGGUGCUCUGGUGGUGCCCAAGGUUGACCUGGUACCUGCCAGAAGAGACAUUUCUCUGUAGCUUACCCCAUGACCACAGCUAGCCUGGGACCAGUUCAGACACGAGGCCCUGCUGAGGAUCCUAUUCCUGGUAUUAUUUGAUAGGGAUCAAGCAUUACAUGAGCAUAGGAGCAGCUCUGGCUCAGCCCAAGGCAUUCACAGGCCAACUCUGGUGUCCAGGGAGCAGGGAACCCCCAAAAUGUAGGCUAUGUAUGUUUGCUGCUGAUUCACCAUGGUCCGUACCUCGGGAAGCUUAGGCGAGCAGCUCUGUUGUUCAGGCAAUUAAGGGAAGAAAGGGAACCUGCUGCACUAAUGGCUGGGAUUAAAGGAAAAUGGAUUCACUUCAAAUGAAAGAGAGACUGACCCUUCUCCCUCUGGUCUUAUUAUCUUAAUUAACAGUGGCUGGCAGGAAUCUUGAGGCCUGCAUUGAUUGUGCUGUUCCUGUUUUCUCCCCCUCAAAACCCUAGAUACACAUUAUUCCAGGUUUAGUAAUCCAAACCCAAUACUCAACAGCCCUCUAAAUUUCUUAUCAGCCCUUCUUCCUCUCUAAGAAUCACGGGGUUUCUGAGCUGAAGGGCAUCCUGAGAACUGCUUGCAUCCAAGUACCUGGGAUAUGGCUAUAAAAUGCAAUUUUCAGUUCCUGCCAGACCCAAGCAACCUAAAUAUCCAGGAAUCAGGUUUGGCAUCAGUAGUGGGUUUGGCUUAAUUUAAUUUUUUCAUUGUGCAAAAAUAUGUAUAGCAUAGACUUUAUCAUUUUAACCAUUUUGAAGUGUUCAGGGGCAUUAAGUACAUCCACUGUCAUCUAUCAAAUUGUUCAUGGUCCCAAACUGAAACAAUCACACCCCAUCUCCCGCCUCCUGCCAGCCCCUGGCAACCUCAGUCUACUUUCUGUAUCUGUGAAUUUGUCCAUUCUAGAAACCUCAUACAGGUUAAGUGGUGUAGCUCAGUGGUACAGCACAUAUUUGCAUGCUCAAAGUCCCAAAUUUUACCCCCAUCUCCAAAAAAAAAAAAAAAAAAAAAAAAAGGAUGGAGGAGAAAAAAAAGAGAAUUCUACUUAAGUGAAAUCCUACAUUAUUUUUUCUCUUGUGUCUGGUUCAUUACACUUAGCAUAACAUCUUCAAAGCUCGUCUAUGUUGUCAGAAUUUUAGUCCCUCUUAAGGCUGGAUCCUAUUUUCUUAUAUAAGCCCCCAAUUUUGUUGACUUAUCCUGGAUGGACCUUUGUAUUGUUUCCACCUUGGGGCUGUUGUGAAUCAUACGGCAUGAACAUGGUGUAUAAAUAUCUGUUUGGGUUUCGGCUUUCAAUUCCUUGGGGUGUUUACCCAGAAGUGGAAUUGCUGAGUCAUGUGGAAAUUCUGUGUUUAAUUUUUGAGUCAGUAGUGUUUUUCAGGCACAGUCAGGGCCGCACCCGGAGGACAGGGUCAUCAGACUUCCUGCGAUUGGAGUUACCUGGAAACCAACGAGCCUUCCUCAGAUGGGAUUAAGGCACCUGUACGUUUUUAAAGUCCCCUGGUGAUUCCAAGGGAUUCCUCUGUCUGGCUACAUAAGAUGAGAAUUCAUUUUGAUGUUUGGAUAAAGCAGCAGCUACAAAACUGACAGCUACUUGGGGACUACGCUGGCUCUUUUCUGCAAAUACCAGUAGUUCAACAUCAGAACGUGUUUAUCUUGAGUCACUUAAAAUCCUCAUUUGUGAAAUCAAAGGUUCUGUGCUCUUUUCUUCUUAGAACAGAGGUCAGCAAACUGUGGUCUGUGUUUGGACUGCAAAGCCUAAAAUAUUUACCAUCUCUCCCUUCCCAGAAAACUUUUUUCCAACCCAUUCUAGAAAAUAAACCAUUGGUUUAUUUGUA